rnacentral:rRNA from 1 species
GACGAACGCUGGCGGCGUGCUUAACACAUGCAAGUCGAGCGGAAAGGCUUGGCGCUUGUGGCGUUUUCGAGAGGCGAGAAGGGGUGUGUAACGCGAGGGACCUGCCCUUGAGUUUGGGGUAACUCCAGGGAACUGGGGCGAUAAUACGAUAUGAGAUCUUGCAGCAUAGGGUUGGUGGGAAAGUGUCGGCGGUUGGGGACGGACUGGAGGUUUAUCAUCUUGUUGGUGGGGUAGUGGCGUACCAAGGCAUUGACGGGUAGCCGGACUGAGAGGGUGACCGGCCACAUUGGGACAGAGAAACGGGCCAGACUCCUACGGGGGGCAGCAGUGGGAGAUAGUGCACGCUGGGCGGAAGCCUGAUGCAACGACGCCGCGUGCGGGAUGACUGCCUGCGGGUUGUAACCCGCUUUCGACUGUGAAGAACCGUGAGUGACGGUAAUGAGCCAAGAAGCACCGGCUAACUACGUG